rnacentral:rRNA from 1 species
GAGUUUGCGGGCAGCUAUACAUGCAGUCGGACGGGAUCCAUAGGCAGAGCUUGCUCAGAGAUGGUGAGAGUGGCGCACGGGUGCGUAACGCGUGAGCAACCUACCUCUAUCAGGGGGAUAGCCUCUCGAAAGAGAGAUUAACACCGCAUAACAUCAACAGUUCGCAUGUUCGGUUGAUUAAAUAUUUAUAGGAUAGAGAUGGGCUCGCGUGACAUUAGCUAGUUGGUAGGGUAACGGCUUACCAAGGCGACGAUGUCUAGGGGCUCUGAGAGGAGAAUCCCCCACACUGGUACUGAGACACGGACCAGACUCCUACGGGAGGCAGCAGUAAGGAAUAUUGGUCAAUGGGCGGAAGCCUGAACCAGCCAUGCCGCGUGCAGGAUGACUGCCCUAUGGGUUGUAAACUGCUUUUGUCCAGGAAUAAACCCAGAUACGUGUAUCUGGCUGAAUGUACUGGAAGAAUAAGGAUCGGCUAACUCCGUGCCAGCAGCCGCGGUAAUACGGAGGAUCCGAGCGUUAUCCGGAUUUAUUGGGUUUAAAGGGUGCGUAGGCGGCCAAUUAAGUCAGGGGUGAAAUACGGUGGCUCAACCAUCGCAGUGCCUUUGAUACUGAUCGGCUUGAAUCCAUUUGAAGUGGGCGGAAUAAGACAAGUAGCGGUGAAAUGCAUAGAUAUGUCUUAGAACUCCGAUUGCGAAGGCAGCUCACUAAGCUGGUAUUGACGCUGAUGCACGAAAGCGUGGGGAUCGAACAGGAUUAGAUACCCUGGUAGUCCACGCCCUAAACGAUGAUAACUCGAUGUUGGCGAUAGACAGCCAGCGUCCCAGCGAAAGCGUUAAGUUAUCCACCUGGGGAGUACGCCCGCAAGGGUGAAACUCAAAGGAAUUGACGGGGGCCCGCACAAGCGGAGGAGCAUGUGGUUUAAUUCGAUGAUACGCGAG